ACUUUGUCGGUGCUCACAGGGCAGAGCGUGUAAGAAGUAGUAGAGUAUAUUUGGAAUGGAUCAAAUGUUUAGAGAAGCGAAUAAAAAAGGAAAACAAGAAUGGCUGGAAAGAGUGAAAAGAGAAUUUCAAAAUGGCCCACUUGCAUCAAAUGUUGUGUUUGCCCUUAUUUUGACGGUCUUGGAAAGGUUGGUGCAGACAGAGUUUGAGUGCCCCUGUAAAGGGACAUACUUGAAUGGUGGUUUUGUGGCUACAUUUUUCAUCAUUCCUGGAAUUUUGGCCUAUGUGCUGAUGGCUUCAAUGCAAGAACUGAAGUGCUCACGUGACACAGACAAUGCAAAGCGAUUCUUUCACUGCUGCGUCCCUGCAUUUGUGUGGAUGAUCUUGAUGCUCUUUGAUGGCAGCUACUUUUCAUGUGGAAUGACUGAUUGGUCAGGCAGGUAUGUAACUGCUGACAAAGCUGCCCCACUGAAGUGGUGUGAACCAGAAAAUGGUACCUCAUAUCAGGAUAGACUGAACAAAUCUCAGGACUGGUACUUUCUCUCUCAGUGGGCUGGGCUUGCCUUGGUCUUGGUCUUGACUUUGGUCUUCCUGAUCAUAAAAUGCAUCAUAAAUACAUCUCUUGAACAAGAGCAAUCCAGUCCUCCUUCAGAAAGUGACUCUGAUCCAUGUGUUCCCCCAGGUACCUGUUCACUUUAA
rnacentral:lncRNA from 1 species